rnacentral:rRNA from 1 species
GUCCUUUUGAUUAUAAUUUAAGGUCUAACCUGCCCAAUGAGGAUUUAAAUGGCCGCGGUAAUUUGACCGUGCAAAGGUAGCAUAAUCAUUAGUUUUUUAAUUGAAAGCUAGAAUGAAUGGUUGGACGAGAAAAUAGCUGUCUCAAUCUAAUUGAAUAGAGAAUUUUAUUUUUAAGUAAAAAAGCUUAUAUGAAUUUAAAAGACGAGAAGACCCUAUAGAAUUUUAUAUAUUAAUUUAUAAGUUUUUGUUAAGAAUUUUUUAAAUUUAUAAAUUGAUGUAUUUUGUUGGGGUGAUGGAAAAAUUUGAUAAACUUUUUUUAAAUUAAAAACAUAGAUUAAUGGUUAAAUGAUCCGUUUUUUACGAUUAUAAGAUUGAAUUACCUUAGGGAUAACAGCGUAAUUUUUUUUUAGAGUUCUUAUCGAAAAAAGAGUUUGCGACCUCGAUGUUGGAUUAAAAUAAACUUUUGGUGUAGGGGCUAGAAAGUUAGGUCUGUUCGACCUUUAAAAUUUUACAUGAUCUGAGU